GUAGUGUUUUCACUAGAAGACAGACAGACGUACUGUUGUCCGGAAAAAGGAGAGACGAAGCACCGUGUUGCUGAGAGUUUUAUCUGCAAGGUCGGCUACUCGUGGUCCUGAUAAUAACUUGUUUGUAAUCCGAAAAAAGGAGAUGUGGAGAGAGAGCGGUUUUCCUGGUCUUCCCAGUGGACGGACUCUGCUGUGUACUAACUAAUUACCCCUGUGACUGCCAUUGCCCCUGUGACUGCUACCCUCACUAACAACUCGUUUGGGAUUCCCCAUCGUAGGGAACAGAUCUGCAAUUGGAGUCAUCAGGAGUCGUCUAUCCGAUAUGUAUACACAUAUUAAAUAAAAAAAAACAUGGCUG